CCGACCGUGAAAAGAUCUCGCCGGUAGCAAUCUCUCGGCAGUCAGUCUCGCGCGAUUCAUCUGGACGGACAACUCCAGCAGAAGGCGCUUGCGGUAUUACACCGAAGACGAAAUUUUCUCCAACAGUGUUGAGCUUCUUUUUCGUAGCACUCAGAUAUAAUGUUUUAACUCCGUAGGUGAGAUCUAGUGAAAAACGAUAGUUGUUUUGUAAAGACAUCGUUAAAAAGUUCCGACAAAGCUGUGAUUUUCCUUUUGCAAAAAGGUGAGUUAUUUCAUAUAUUUUGCUAAUCUUUGUAUCA